UAUUAAUAGGAGUACUGAAAGCGGUAUCAUAGCCCUCCUGACUGUCUUCCUCUGCUCUAUUGGAUCAAUGUUUCUCUCCCUUUCCCUGCACACUGAAGUGGGAUGCAUGCAUACACUUAACCACGGGCAGCUUUACCGAAUCCAUCAGCACAGCCCAGGACAUGAGGAAAAGUGGGCAUUCAGAGCAGACAGUCACUUUAAAUAAAACUACAGAGAUUGCAAAUGCCACGGCUUGCUUAUUUACUUACUGCAUCUCAGUCUGCCCAAAAUGUGGAAAUAAUGUUUCCAGAGAUGCUGGAAUUCAUCUGUCUGUUGAGGAUCCUGGCUCCUGUCCUGAAUGAUACUGCAUAUUCAGGGGAUGAUUCAUUCACUCCCGAGCGGGAGGAAGGGCUGUACCAGCUGUACCACCUCUCCGCUCCGAUUGACGGCAGUGAUGCUCCCACGGGGAAGCUGUGCCUCCAGGUUCAGCCAGCAAUUACAGAACAAACAAAGGAGAAGUGGAAUGGAGAAAUGAUUCACGGGAAUAGGAACCAAAAGAGAACCGGGAGGUGAUGCCAAGCCGGGCUGACCGUAAAACUUUCAUUUCUUUCUGCUGAAAAUGUGCGGUCAGGAUUGUGCAUCUCUUUGGUGUGUAAAUGAAUGGUGUCCUUUGCCAUCUGUAAGGGAGGAUCCAGGAGAGAGAAAUGGCUCUGAGGGCUUUGAGCCUGCAAAAAGAUGGGAAGCUUCAAGCCAACAGCACGGAAAGACACAGCCUGGUGACCCUGAUGGCUCCAUCAGCUAUCUGAAAUAAACUUUCAUAUUUCAAUGUAAAAAAAAAAGCGCUGUCCCUGCUGGGAUGGGAACUGUGUGGGAUACGGACGGUGCCAGGCGCGUUACACGCCUCGCCGUGGAUUUAGCACAGAGGGGUUGGGCAGCUGACGGCUCCCAGCCGGCACAAGGCUCGCUCGCAUGGCUCGCAUGGGAACAGGGUGGGAAAAGUGGGCUCAAAGGUUGCCCAGAAUGACCAAGAGAGGAAAAAUUCCUCCUGCCACUCCUCUGCUAAUCAAAGGGGUGUGGAGGGGAAGUUUUGAUCUCUUGUGUCCCGCAUUGCCAAGCAGAAAAUAAACACGUAUUUUAUACGCUAAAUACAAGGCCAAUUCCCAUAUUAAGGAAGAAGCCUCCAUGCAAUCAAAAUCAGACUUGAAAUCUAUCUCGCCUGUGGUGUAUUAGGUUGCUGGAAAUGGAGCCAGAUGUUCCAAACUCCCUCAAAACAGCCUCCAACCACACCUCAUCAGCUGCUCCAG
ensembl:lncRNA